AUGCCCUCAAUAUUUCUUGAAUUACAAAAUUGUCCUUGGGCGUAACCGCCGUCAGGCGUCAGCUCGGUCCAUAUCCCUUUCAAUGAAUUUAGCAGGUGACUCGGGUAUAUUCACAUGAGUCAUAUGUCUAUUCUGGACAUGGUGAUAGCUUGCUUGUAUAGUUGUAUGUGCCCGUGGUGUUUAUUGGUGUAAUUAGAUUAGUCAUACAAUUCGGGUCAGGAUAUGCAGAGAAAAUGGCAAGCGUGUGGGAUAUACUGUGAAGGAUAGUGACUCUGAAGCAGACGCUUAUAAUGGAAUGGGAUACUUGUAUGUUAAAGGUUAUGGAGCGGAGAAGAAGAACUUUACCAAAAUCAUAGAGAAAGAACUGCAAGGGGAGGAAUAAAGGCGUUGUAGGGCUUGUGUUGGCGAGGCAGAGGAAGAGACAUGUGUCGAGAGAAUGGAACCCUAUGCAUGGAUUUAAACUUCUGAUGGUUCUAUACAAGAAGUGGAACGAGAGAUUGCAAUGUUAUGCCCCACUGCUGUUCAUGAAAUGGCAUCAGGACUUGGAUCGUCAAAGAGCAAUCCUAUAUCACUACCUGCACGAGUUAAACCUACUUCUUUGAGCUUAGUUAUUGAAUACUGCAGAUUUCAUCUAGCACACCGCUCUUACCAGGACCAAGAUACAAAAAUCUGCAAGAUCAUACUCAAGAUGUCUAUAGUGACAAAGUUACGCUGUAUCACUCUGGAUGUUACUGGCACAUUAAUAGCUUACAAGGGGGAGCUUGGUGAAUACUAUUGCAUGGCAGUCAAAUCUGCAGACUUCCGUGUCCAAACUACAAGCGUGUGCAUGAGGGCUGUAAAAUUGCAUACACAAACACGGCAAAAGAACAUCCCAGUUUUGGGUUUGCAGAGAAAAUUCCCAACAUUGUGUGGUGGAAAACUUGUGUUAGAGACUCUUUUGUAAAGGGUGCAGGCCAUACAGCUCCAGAAUGUUAUGCAGCUAUGUUUGAGAGAUAGAUAACUUUCAGUUAACAAUCUGAGCUAUAUGUGCUUGGUACCAACUGGCGCAGGCUUGUCAUAUAUGUUCGGAUGCUGCAACGAGGAGCUUGUUGCCAUUUCUAAUUAAGUAUAUUUAUUCAGAAUUAGUUUUGUUACAAAAGAUAUAAACCUUUGGUAGAUGGUAGUAUUAAAGGACGAUGACAUCUUUAAUUUACUAAUAUCUUUUCAAUUUAAGCAUCAGUUUUUGUUUGAUAUUUUUUCCCUUAGGUAAAAUAUUCAAUGUGUGUGUGAGAAUUUGGCCAAUGGAAGAUUUUUGAGAAAUGAACCAAGAUUUAUAAUAUUUUUAAAGCCCGAGUCAUAUAUUAUAUUUUCAGGCAGAUAUGAUUAUGAUGAGGAGAUAUUUGAUAAAGUUUCAAACGCAUAUACUCCACCUUUGGCUCUGUUUCUCCUUAUACUAUGUUUUCAGAUUCCAAGCCUUUCCUAAGAUGGGCCAAGGGCGAACAACCACUUACUGUUUCCUCAUUAUUUGUUCACAAAUAAGGGAUGAAAGUCAUUGUAGCUUUAUGGGAGAGCAAGGCAACCACCUUCCUCGACUUAUUGCCAAAGGAAGGAAAUGAGCCUGUUUUUGUGGUUAUAACUGGCUUAAUGGCCAAAAAAUACUCAGAUAAAAUGUCAAAGGAAUUACUUCGACAAAUGAGGGUAAAGAACACCAUCAAUGAGGCUGAAUUCAACUCAGAUGAAAAUCUUUUCUUCGACCUCUUUAUCAAAGCAAAUUACGGAAAUGAUGCGCCCGACUGUGAGGUGCUGGAUAUGGAGAAAAAUUGGAUCAACGGAGAACCAGAGGUACUCCUGGGACGGGAAGUGCCCAUCAGAGGAAUGGAAAAAUGAGAAAUGUGGUGAAUUAGAUGAAAAUAGACAAGAAGUAGCAUUAGAUUUCGAGCGUGAGAUUUUCACUUCUUUGGUGAAUGAUCUCAUUGUCAGUUUUUGAAGAAAUGGUUUAGCUAUACAUUUUUUCUCGAAACCGAAUAAUUAUUUGCGUGCUUGAAAAGUGUCGCAUGAAUCUGAGUUAUUUGCUUUUACACUAAUGAUAUAUGAUUUUAUGAUGA